rnacentral:rRNA from 1 species
UACGGAGGAUCCAAGCGUUAUCCGGAUUUAUUGGGUUUAAAGGGUGCGUAGGCGGCCUAUUAAGUCAGGGGUGAAAGACGGUAGCUUAACUAUCGCAGUGCCUUUGAUACUGAUGGGCUUGAAUGGACUAGAGGUAGGCGGAAUGUGACAAGUAGCGGUGAAAUGCAUAGAUAUGUCACAGAACACCAGUUGCGAAGGCAGCUUACUAUGGUUUAAUUGACGCUGAGGCACGAAAGCGUGGGGAUCAAACAGG